CGGCAGAUCAAGAGCAUCUCAUCCUCCGGCUGCUGAGUCAUCCUGCUCUGGCAGUUAUUUAAACAGAAGGCUCCAGGAGACAUACAAUCAACACUCCACUCAGACAAUGCCCAGACCUCCAGAAACCAUGUGUCAAGCUCGGAUUGCCUUAGACAGGUGCAAUUUAAGAACAGCUUUCAUCCUCUUUUCUCUCAUAUUGUCACACUAUGUGUUCUGACUUCUGGCUCCUUUCCUCACAAGAAGCUCACCCAGCUGGAACUCUUAUGGGACCUUGGCACCAGAGACCACAAAUUCCUCUUUGAAGUUUUCUAACAGCAACAAUGGUAUUUCUGACUUGGCUUUCUUGUAUUUCUCUCACGUUAACAAAAUUGGUUCAGCAUCUACCAUGGGCUACAUGCUGAGCUACAGAGUUUCGCUCUGUCGCCCAGGCUGGAGUGCAGUGGCGCGCGAUCUCGGUUCACUGCAAGCUCCACCUCCCGGGUUCACGCCAUUCUCCUGCCUCAGCCUCCUGAGUAGCUGGGACUACAGGCGCCCGCCACCACACCCAGGAAUCCAACUUGCUGUUUGCUAUCACAUGUGCUAUACAUGCUGUUGAUGAAACUGCUAAAGGGGCUGAAUGUGACUGACGUCUUUGGAAGGAUGAGACUUAGCGUGCCUGUACAGUUGUGUCCAAAUGCUGUCCUCAUCUCCCAAUGAAAAGCUGAACUAGGGCCAUGCCUGGGACAGACAGAGAAUGGCCUUCCAGCAGACAUGCCAAGAAGCAAGCCAGGGUCAGUGAGUGAAGAGGAGGGCAGGCCCAUUUGAAGCAACACAGUUUAUAUACAUGAAAAGAAAGAAGGAGAGAAGGAAGAAAGGAGGGCGGAAGGAAAGGAAGAAGGGAGAGAAGAAGAGAAGAAAGAAGCAGAGAAAGGAAGAGAAAAGAAAUUACGGCCAGUGCGGUGGCUCACGCCUGUAAUCCUAGCACUUUGGGAGGCCUAAGCGGGCUGAUCACCUGAGGUCAGGAGUUCGUAAGCCAGCCUGGCCAACAUGGUGAAACCCUAUCUCUACUAAAAAUACAAAAAUCAGCAGGGCAUGGUGGUGCGUGCCUGUAAUCCCAGCUACCUGGGAGGCUGAGGUAGGAGAAUCGCUGGAACCCGAGAGGCGGAGGCUGCAGUGAGUUGAGAUCAUGUCACUGCACUCCAGGCUGGGCAACAGAGUGAGACUCUGUCUCAGAAAAAAAAAAAAAGAAAGAAAGAAAGAAAGAAAGUUACCAUUAGUUUUUUGUUGUAUUUGCAAGCAAAGACAAAAGCACCAAGGUACUUGUUUCCUUCUGUAAUUAGAGUUUCAAAUAGACUAAAAGUUUCUGCUCUUAGGUGGGUCUAGAGACUCUCCAGUACCUCAGGACCUCAGGACACAUGGGGUCUCUUGGUUGUUUUCUUUUCAUUGUUGUUGUUUAUUUUAUUUUUGUUUUUAUUUUUUAACUUUAAAACAAUUUUUUGUAGAUGAAUAUGCUUACAUAUGUUUGGGGGUUUUUUUGAGACAGGGUCUUGCUCUGUUGCCCAGGCUGGAGAGCGGUGGUUUAACCACAGCUCACUGCAGCCUCGACCUCCCAAGGUAGGGACUGCAGGUGUGUACACUGGGGUGCACCACCACACCCAGCUAAUUUUUAAAUUUUUUUUUGUAGAUAUUGUCUCACUCUGUUGGCCAGACUGGUCUUGAAAUCCUGGGCUCGAGCAAUUCUCCUGCCUCGGCCUCGUAACGCGUUAGGAUUACAAGCGUGAACACCGCACCUGGCCAGCAUGUGGUCUCUUAACCAGAGGAGGCCUCUUCUGAACUAGGUAGAGGUCCUGAGAAUUGAUUCUGAGAGUAAAAGGCUCUUUGUUCUCCUCAGAGUAGAUUAGAAUCCCUAAUGAUAGAGCAUCUAUUAUUCCUCUAGUGGUCCAUGCCCAACAGAUUCAUCCAAGAAUAGAUGAAGAUCUUUGUAAUGUUGUGCAAGUAAUCUAAUCACCCCACAGAAGAGCUGUGACUUAAAUUAUCCCAGAGUCGGCCCACCUGUUUUCAUAAAGAUCAAUGUAACUUGUAAAUUUCUUCAGUUCUCCUCACCUAUCAUCAUUUGACUAACAAAACCCAGAAAACUAGGCUAGUUAUGGUGGCCUAUGCAUAUAAUCCCAACUCUUUGAGAGGCCAGGGUGGGUGGAUUGCUUGAGUCCAGGAAUUCGAGACCAGCCUGGGCAACAAAGGGAGACCCUGCCUAUAUCCCAGCUAUGCAGGAGGCGAGGCCAGAGGAUUGCCUGAGCCUCAGAGGUUGAGGCUGUAGUGAGCCAUGAUUGCCCCACUACACUCCAGCCUGGAUGACAGAGUGAGACCCUGCCUUAAAAAUAAUAAUAAUAGUAAUAAUAUUUCAUAAAGAUACAGGAAACUAGAUUAUAAUUGACAUUUUCAAAGUGAAAUACUGUCUAGAAUGGUGCUUGGCCAACAGUAAGCUUUUUGUAAGUGGAAGUCAUUACUACUACUAUUUCUUUCAUUAUUAUUACCAUUACUACUUUUUUUUACAAAAAAAAAACCCUGGACAACACACUGAAACCAUUACUACUUCUACUACUAUAACUUAGGUUGCACCUGAUAGAGCCAGCAAUUUUUCCAAGGUAUGACAAUGGCCAUAUGUUUAAUGAUAUAAUUCUAUGGCUCAGUGUAUCUCAGCCUUUUUAAACCCUGCUCUUCUUUUGACAAUUGUAAAAAUCUUAAACUGACCUCCAGUUGAAAUCCUCUGUCAAGAAGAUAUUGUCGGCCAGGGGCGGUGGCUCACACCUGUAAUCCCAGCACUUUUGGAGGCCGAGGUGGGAGGAUCACUUGAGGUUAGGAGUUCAAGACCAGCCUGGCCAACAUAGUGAAACCCCAUCUCUACUAAAAAUACAAAAAUUAGGCAGGCAUGGUGGUGUGUGCCUGUAAUCCCAGCUACUCAGGAGGCUGAGGUAGGAGAAUUGCUUGAACCUGGCAGGGCAGAGGUUGCAGCAAGCCGAGAUCACGCCACUGCUCUCCAGCCUGGGUGAGACUGUCUCAAAAAAAAAAAAAAAAAAGAAAGAAAGUAAGAAAAAGAAGAAAUCCCAAUCUCUUCUUUUAUGUGGAUUCUUCCUCACUUGAAUAAUACUUUUCUUCCCCAGUAUUCUCCAUAUUAUCCCAGAGUCAGCCCCUCUGUUUUUGUAAAGAUCUACGUAACCUCCUCUAAGUUUCCCAGUUCUCCUCACCUAUCAUAUCAUUUGGCUCAACAAAGGGCAGGAAGCUAGAUUCUAAUUGAUAUUUUGAGGCCGGGAGCAGUGGCUCAUGCCUGUAAUCACAGCACUUUGGGAGGCUGAGGCGGGCAGAUCACUGGAGGUCAGGAGUUCGAGACCAGCCUGGCCAAUAUGGUGAAACCUCGUCUCUACUAAAAAUACAAAAAAUUAGCCAGGCUUGGUGGCUUGUACCUGUAAUCCCAGCUACUCAGGAGGCUGAGGCAGGAGAAUAGCUUAAACCUGGGAGGAAGAGGUUGCAGUGAGCCGAGAUUGCUCAAUUGCACCCCAGCCUGGGUGACAGAGCAAAACUCCAUCUCAAAAACAAACAAACGAACAAACCUGAUAUUUUCAAAAUUGAGGCAAUUAUAACAGCUAUUUAGCCAAGCAUUAUGAUAGCAAUAAUAGCAAGAAAAUAAAUUAGUUAACAAAUGAGUCUCAGAAGCCCAAUGAUUUUUAUUUUAUUUUUAUUUUUUGAACUUUUAUUUUAGAAUCAGGGGAUACAUGUGCAGGUUUGUUACCCGGGUAUAUUGCAUGAUGCUGAGUUUUGGAGUAUGCAUGAAUCCAACCUGUCAUCCAGGUAGUGAGUAUAGUACCCAACAGAUAGUUUUUUUAACAUUUACUUCACUCCCUUCCCCAAUCUUGUAUUCCCCUGUGUCUACUGUUCCCAUUUUUAUGACUGUGCCAACAAUAAUUUUUUUUCUUUUUUCUUUAAAUAGAGAUGGGGGUCUCUAUUUAAAGAGCCUCCCAAAGUGCUAGGAUUACAGGUGUGAUCCAUUGCACCUGGCCCAUGCCAACAAUAUUUGAAACCCUUAUCUGCGUGUACAAGUUUGCUACUGGUUUUGUUUUGCUCAUUAAUACAUCCCAAGCAUCUAUACCUGGCUUGUAGUACCAGCAUGUAGUAGGUGCUUAAUAAAUAUUUAUUGAAUAAAUAAAUUAGUUUGACAUUAGUUUAACAUCUCAAGUAAAACAAAAUACCAUUCAAUUAAUUCUCUUCUUCUACUUUUUUCUUUUAAGAGAGACAAAUAGUCACACAUACAUCAGCAGGAGAGGAUACAAUUUCCUGUGUUUAAGUUUUUAUGAGUUACUUUAGUUCAAAUGUCACAGAAAAUUAUAUUGAACUCUUGACCAAUCUAUCUAUUUUUUCCAUUGGAGUAUUGACCCAAAUAAGAAAUAGCAUAAAGGAAAAAUUAUUUUUUGGCAGAAAAAUAUUCUCUCUAAAUUCUUGUGUGUUUUGUUUUGAUUUUUUCCUUAGUGACUGGAGGCCAGUUUCAAUCCACUGAAGCACAGAUUCCAAAUUUUCAAUCUGGUUUUCUUGAGUAGUGACUGAGUGCCAAAAAUGAAGCAAUGACACAACAUCACCAUCAAGACACUCCCCAGCACGCACACACAUGCCAGAGUCCAACACCAAGAUACUCCCCAGCACGCACACACACGCCAGAGUCCAGGCCAUAUUCGGGUGGCUUGCAAGCUUCUUCCCCCCAAGUAUUUACUCUCAAAAUAAUGGUUUUUGUUUUGUUUUGGUUUGGUUUGGUUUGUUUUUUUCCAAAUACAUUUCUUCCCUAUAUCUUUAACCAAUUCUCAUAAAAUUUUGUCUAAUACACUGGUCAGUGUAUUCCAGACCCUAAAAGAUAACAUAAUGAAACUAUCUAUGACUAAAAGGUAAUCAGGAUCUUCUACUUAUCCUUUUUUCCUCCCUCUUAAACUUUAAUUUUGAUACAUUUGGGAGUGAAAUGAUGACAAUAAAUGCAAAGUAAUUAUUGAAGAAACAGUAAUUUUGUAUUAGCUUACUGAAAAAAAAAAAAAAGAUAACCAAAUAUAUUUUGGCAGCCCCAAACGAGUCACAUGUGAAAUGCAGUGGGAGAGCAGUGUCCUGAAGGAAAAGGUGGCCUGCUGGACAGCCAAGAGAACAAACAUCCACUGCAAGUAAUAUGAGCUCUAAGUUUGGACUAGGCCUAUGUCUGCUCUGAGACUUGGGGCAAUUCACUUAAUCAGAGCCUUAAUCAGCUACGGACUAGCAAUAUCCAUACCCGCUACUUAUUUUGUAAAUCUCCUUUCUAAAGUUAACUCUAUUUAUUGUUCCAUAAUCCCAUAAAUUCUAGAAUCUUUUCCUGUUAUAGCCAAGUUGUCUAUCAUUGACAGAGAUAUUCACCUGGUUGUUUUGGCUUCUCUAAUCCUCCUGGUGAGAACACCUCCAAGGGAGCUUUCAGUGGCAUUUAAGGUCACUUGUGCUCUUGGUCCUAGAAACUGCCUUGAUAGUGGUUUUAGCUCACAUGAGGUAAGUCUUUAUUAUAUGCCCAACCUCUUUAUGCAUUACUUCAUUUAAUUGUAUACUAAUCCUUUGUCAUAGGUUAUCAGAGUGUUUGAUUAUAAGUUACAGGAAGAAAAAAAAAAACAAACUCCAAUUGACUAAAACAAUGGGGCAUUUUUUGACUCACAUAACAGAGAGUCUAGAGAGAAGGCACCUUCAGGUUUGGCUGAUGAAUCCUGUAUCUCUGCCUUGUCUCCAGGCCCCCAGGUUCUGCCUCUGUCCUGACAUCCAGUGUUGGAUUCCUCUUCACAUCAACUCCUCUCUGAACAAAACCCAUCAGAAGAUGUCAGAAGAUAAGGAUUUUUGUCCUGAUGCUACACUUACCAGCUGUCCCUCAGUGUUCUACUUCUUAAAAAAAGAGAGGUUGGUCCUGAUCCCUGGUUCUUAACCAGGGGAAAAUGAAGUGGGGCCAGGGCAUGUGCAGACUUAAAAAUUACACAGGGGAAUGUAGGCACGAUCUGUUUAAGAAAUACUGGACUAAAUGGUCUCUAAUCUGUGAUUGUAGAUUAAAGAAUAAUCUACAAUCUACACCGUGUUGGCCAGGCACGGUGGCUCACACCUGUAAUUCCAGCACUUUGGGAGGCUGAGGUGUGUGGAUCACAUGAGGUCAGGAGUUCGAGACCAGCCUCACCAAUGUGGCAAAACCCCCUCUCUACUAAAAAUACGGAAAAUUAGCUGGGUGUGGUGGUGCAUGUCUGUAGUCCCAGCUACUCGGGAGGCUAAGGCAUGAGAAUUGCUUGAACCUGGGAGGUGGAGGUUGCAGUGAGCCAAAAUCACGCCACUGCACUCCAGCCUGGGUGACAGAGUGAGACUCUGUCUCAAAAAAAAAGAAAAAAUAAAUAAUCAAAUGUAAAGUUAGCACAUAAAGGAGGCAUGUACAUAUUAUUAAAAUCUAUAUGACUACCUCUCCUUUUUCAUUUUUGGCUCAAUAUCUGUAUCUGAACACCUAAUUAAUGAAAGGAAAACAUUUGUAAUAUGUAGCAACUAAAAUGUCACCUUCUCUGUGGGGAUCACAAAGUCCUUGGCAAUCACUUCCAUACCAGACAAGUGAGUAUUGUCCUUCUCCUUUUCCAGAUGGAUAAACAGAGGCAACCCGAGGAUAAAGGCCUUGCUCAGUGUCACACAUUUCAGUCACUAAAUAAGACACAAUGGAUGCCAGUAUUCUCAUCCCCUCACAAAUAAAGAGCCUUCAAGCUCUUGCAGUCAACAAGAACUUUUGGAAUGAUUUCACUGCCUGAAAAGGCAGAUACAUAGGUGACACCCACAAAUAGGAAGAAAAUCAACCUGAACCUGAGUGUGUGGGCUCACUGACUCUAAGCAGUAGAGACAGAAGAAAAAGUUUUAGCAAAGAAGGGUUCUGAAAGAAAAUAAAUAUAGCUCGUUAUCAAGUGCUGUUUUUACACAGUAAAACAUGGGCAAAAUUACUCUUCUUUAAGUAGUAAUUCUUAUCUCUUGAUUAAGUCACCUACUCAUUCAUUUAAUAAAUACAUACUGAUUGUUUUCUAUGUGUUGAGCACUCAUCUCUGUAUUGGAAAUAUAAUAAUGACCAAAGUUGACAAUAGUAAUAACAAUAAUAGCUAAUAUAGCAGGCACUAAUAAUUAUUUGUUGAGUAAUAUGUCAAAAUUCAGUGUGAACAGCAUUCUAUUUGGGGCUGCAUCCACUGACUAUAACACAGCUAAUCUAUCUGAAAUGUUCCAGCUUUGGGCCUCUCUAACAGAAGAAGCUGUUGUUGGGCCUGCCUCUAGUUGGCGAUGCAUCCACCAAUGAGAAUGAAUUUAUGAUCGACCACUCUUCCUGUAAAGGCCGCUGGAACUGACAGCAUUGUGAUUUUCUUUUACUGUUAGUUUUAAAUUACUAGAACCAACUCAAUUACUAGAACGAACUUUACUUCUUUGUUUCCUACUUAUCAAAACAGUAAAAACAACAAGUAAAAGAAAUGCCAUCUUAAUAUUGUUUUGAUGACAAAACAGUAUUCCUUUUAGUUGUGCUUCAAAUGGAAUAAGAUGCAAACAGGCUUGGUAUGGUGGCUCACCCCUGUAAUCCCAGCCCUUUGGGAGGCCAAGGUGGAAGGAUUGCUUGAGGCCAUGAGUUUGAGACCAGCCUGCGCAACAUAGCAAGACCGUGUCUCUACAAAAAAUAAAAAAUUAGCUGAGUGUAGUGGUGUGUGCUUGUGGUCCCAGCUACUUUUGAGGCUGAGGAGGGAGAAUCUCUUGAGCCCAGAAGGUCGAAGUUGCAGUGAGCCGUGAUCGUGCCAUUGCUCUCCAGCUUGGACAACAAAGCAAGACCCUAUGUCAAAAAAUAAAUAAAUAAAAGACAUAAACAUAUCUGAGAUUAACUUUCAGUGGUAAAUUUGUUCCAUAUAUGAUUUUUAAGGUUAAAUGCUUUGGAAGCUUUAAAAACCAUUUCAGCCCUUUUAAAUGCCAACUUACACUGAUGAUGCUCUCAGAUGUUAGGAAAUCUUUUGAGCAGAAAAUGGAAGUGGGGGUGUUGAGGCAGGGAGGAGAGUGAUGCAAUAUUCCUUAGUGUCAUCCUGUGAUUUCACAAUUUGUUUUUCAAUCUGUUUGGACUUUCAAAAGGGAAGACUCUCAUAUGUCAACAAGCCCAUGAACUGAAGCUUAAAACACUGGAAACAACAACUGUAGAGUUUCAAGUAUAUGUACAUUUAUGUAUUCAUGUUCCUUGAUGGGAAUGCUGGCUGGUGUGAAUGUUCAAUCUCCUGAGAAAUGUAAAUUUUUCUCUGACAGAUUUAUUAGCUUGCUGUAUCUGAGCACAUGAGCAAAAACAAUGCCUAAUAAGAAAACUUUCUCUCUCCUUCAAAGUCAAACUUGGGAGAAAUGAAGGGAAAUCGAGUUUUCUUUGCUUGACAGUGUUCAACAUUCUUGUAGUCAGUGUGCUCAUGAAGAUUGCAAACUUUUUUUUUUUUUUAGAGCAGCUAGGACUACAGGCGCGCACCACCACACCCAGCUAAUUUGUGUAUUUUUAGUAGAGAUGGGGUUUUAACUAUGUUGGCCAAGCUUGUCUCAAACUCCUGACCUCAAGUGAUCCAUUCGACAGCUCUUUCUUUUUUUUUUUUUUUUUUGAGACAAAGUCUCGCUCUGUCACCCAGGCUGGAGUGCAGUGGUAUGAUCUCAGCUCACUGCAACCUCCGCCUCCUGGGUUCAAGCAAUUCUCAUGCCUUAGCCUCCCGAAU
rnacentral:lncRNA from 10 species